UUCAGAAAAUUUUUAUAACAGUUCAGAGCAUUAAAAAACAAAGCUGUUCAUAAAUCUCAGUAGCCAAAAUACCUUUGAAACAAGAACAAGUAUGCAUACAUUAACAGCAAAAGCUCAAACAAGUUAUAGUAAUUUAGCAUUCGAUCAAGGGUGAUGAGUAGGGAGUAACCAAGAUUCAAGUACAAUCAACAACGUGCAUAAACUAUCAUACGUACGAGGAAAAGAAGAGAAUGGAUGAGAGAUAUUAGGAAAACGAGGAAAAGGGAUAAGCAACUAAACCAUGAAUCAACUGUUCUUAUCCUAUCUUUUUCCUUCUCUAUUUUAAGAACCAAAUUAAACCUAAUAAAUACACAAUGCUAAAAGACAUCAUCACAACACCUACUACAGCCUCUUUUUUCUUUUCCAUUUUCUUUUUUCUCUCUCUGUUCUUAUGUCCUAUUAUUAUGUUCUUUUUCCUUCUGGAAAUCAGUCCACUGUCAUUGGCAAGGUCAUGCAACAUCUGAAUCGAGCCUUGCGAACAUUGGUCAUGAUCUCAGUCUCUGCAUUCUCGAGCAUUCUGACAACUUCGACAAAGGGUGGCCUAACUUCAGGGUUCACAUCCCAGCAACGGGUCAUAAUCUCACCAAGAGCAGGCAAGCAAUCAUUGGGAAUGACAGGACGAACACCCUUGUUGACGACCGCAAAUGCAGCUUGCACUGCUGUCAUAUUCUGGAAUGGAAGCAUUCCUGUGAUGAGUUCCCACAAAACAAUCCCAAAGCUAUAGACAUCCACCUUUUGCGUGUAGGGCCUGUGUUGGAUCAUCUCCGGUGCCAUCCAGCGGUAUGUCCCUGUCUCUGGUGUCAUUCCUUCGGUCUGCACCUCAAUUCGAGCAACCCCAAAAUCUGCAAUCUUUAUAGAUUUAUCUCCAAAAAUCAAAAGAUUGUCAGAUUUUAAAUCCCUAUGAAUCAGACCAAGCCCAUGAACAUAGGCCAUUCCUCUUGCAACGUCCAAGGCCUGCUUAACUGCCAAUUUCAGUGGCACUGCCCUGUUCUGUCGCCUUGUUAAAAACUGACGCAUUGAACCUCCUUUUGCAUAUUCUGUCACUAUGCACCAUACCAUUGGUUUCCGACAAGCACCAAUAAAUCCAACAAUGUUGGGAUGCUUUAAUGUGGCCAGCAUCAUAACUUCCUGCUGAAAUUGUUGCUCCAUCAACUUUGCCCUUUCUUGGUCAUUUUCUGGCCUCUCCAAGAUUUUGAUGGCAACAUCCUCACCAUCAUAAGUCCCUCUGUAGAGUUUCCCAAAAGCCCCUUGUGCAAAAGCUGCCCCCAUAUUAAGCUUCCUCAAGUCAAUGGUCCACUCAUCAAAAUUCUCAAGGCCCUCUGUAGGGGAAUUACUAUCCAUUAGUGCAUGGGCCAGUGCAUCAUCAUUCAAAGCACGCAUGGCUCUUCCAUUAUGGUUAACACUCCGUUGAACAGAGUAGUUGUCAUUAGCAUGCCGCUGCAGUCCUUGGUGAUUCAAAAUGCGAGUGUGAGAAUCAUUUGACCCAAUACUUUCUAUGGACAUUGCAGUCCUUCCACCAUUGCUUAUUUGCAAGCUAUCAUAACUGUCUAUUGACAUAUUGGAAUUCUCACCAAGUUUAUGAUAGAAAACUUGUGAUAAAUCAUCAUAAUUGUUAUCAUGAUUGUUUAGGCCAAUAAUUCCAGGAAAUUUCGGACCUCCUUCCAACAUGUUCCUCUUUGAGAAGCAAAACCUCAAAGCCCACUUAUUUCUUCAGCAUCAGAAAUCAAGACCAAAUUGUUCUUUUCAGAAAACCAGAAACCAAAACCAAUCAAAGUUCUUUCAGCAUAUCAUUCUCAACAAGCAAUAUAAAUAAUUACCCUUUAACCUUUUAAAUAAAAAUACACAGACAAGCCCUUGCUUAAGAAAAGACAGAAAAUCUGAAACUGAAUGCCCAACUAUUCAAUAUUGUCUCUUCCUAGCAUAAGCCUUACAUGGGAAAACAACAAAGAGAGAUCUUAUUAACCACAAAUCUUAAGAAAUUGACUCUUGCAUAACCCAAAAACACAUAAAUUCACAGGUAAAGACCCUAAAAGAAGAAAAAGGCAAAGAGAAGAUAACAGCGUCAUCUUCAUAAAAAAAAAAUGGAAAUGAGCCCUACAAAACCAAUCAUUUCUGUGUAUAAAAUAUUCUGGAAAACUCUUAAAAGUUGGCCAAUGAUGUUGUGCCCUAAAAACACAAAAUCAGCAAAAUCUAGUCCAAAGUCCUAUAGACCCAAAAGCAUAAAAAGUCAAUCAUACAAAUACAUACAAUAUUACCCCGAGAAAGCUCUUUAAGAAGAAGCCAAUACUCAAUAGAAAGACCCAGAAACAUAACGCCAGAACUAGAUGAAGCAAAAUCGUGCCAUUUUCAUGAGUAAGAGGAACUAACUGCCAUUUUCAUAAGUUCAGGAACUAACACAACAACUUUUGGGAUAGAGAAAAGGAGCAAGCAUCACUCAAGUAAAUUAUUUGACAUGUUAAAAGCAAAAAUCAACAAGAAAACAAAACCCAAUUAGCAUUGCUAUUUCCGGACCAAAGAGAUAGCUUGCGCACAUUUUUAAACCUCAUAUUUCAGUUCACAUAUACACAAUAGUUUUAAGGUGACCCAAUAUCGUUCUUUAAAGAAAAAGAACAAUCAAUAAAAGUAAAAAAAUGGAUUGAUAAGAAUAGAAAAAUCAAUGAAAGCAAUAAAUGAAAUGAUAAGAAGGAAAACAACACAACCAAGGGCUUAUUACAACAAUAUACUUGUUAAAAUAAAGUAAUCAAAUUUUCAGAAUUUAUAAUGAAUUGCAUUUAGGAAUUUUAUCCAACAAAGACGAGAUUUCCCUUCAAAACCAACAUUUUGAACACAGAUUCAAAUAAGUUCUUAAUAUACAUAAUACUAAUGCCACAUAGGAACUAAAUAUCAAGAAUUAAACCAUCACAUAUCACUCCAAAACUCAUUUAUCAGAAGUCAAAUCAUCACAAAUCACUCCAUAGACACCAAGACCACAUAUCCCAAUCACAACAGCAGAAAACACUCCCCAUUUUAGAAACCAGUCUCUACAUACCCAUACAAGCUUCUAACGUCUCCCAUAUGAAUGAAUUCGAUACCCAAGUAUCCAUUCAAAGCUAUUCAACCCACAAGUUCAUGGAUGAAAUAAUUUAUGCUCAACAGAAUAAAUAGAAAGAUCAGGGUUUACCUUAUUGUCAGUAGAUUGACUUUCUAUUGUUGUGGUUAUGCGGUAACUAUAAACAAAUCAACAAACAAAAAGAGCUAGCGUGGGAGAUCGAAAGCUUCUCAGAGAGUUCAAGGCUGAGAGGAAACUAAUGGGUCUGUAACCUUUUCCCAAUAGAAAACAAGAGACAAAUCAGAAAGAAGAAUUCCCACAAAAACCCUCGAUCAUUUUCUCUAGUUUCCGCGAUUUUUUCCUUUCCUCGCUAUCCGGUCGUCUACCGGUGAGAAAGAUUGAGAGAUCCCAUGAGAUAGAGAAAGAAAUGGAGGAGAAGAGGAGAAAAAUCAACUGCUGAGUCGGAGAAGGUUAAAGUGCUCAAAAAGAGAGGCUGAAGAAGAGAAUGAAGACAAAGAUCGAGUCUUCAAAGACCAAAAACCAACUAAAG
rnacentral:misc_RNA from 1 species